rnacentral:rRNA from 1 species
AACGUAGGAGGCAAGCGUUAUCCGGAGUUACUGGGCGUAAAGCGCGUGCAGGUGGUUGAGUAAGUGGGGCGUGAAAUCUCCGGGCUAAACUCGGAGGGGACGAACUAUACUGCUGGACUAGAGUGGAGUAGAGGGACGCAGAAUUCGGGGUGUAGCGGUGAAAUGUGCAGAGAUCCCGAGGAAUACCAGAGGUGAAAACGGCGUCCUGGGCUCUAACUGACACUGAGACGCGAAAGCGUGGGGAGCGAACGGG